rnacentral:misc_RNA from 1 species
GAUGAAGAACGCAGCGAAAUGCGAUAAGUAAUGCGAAUUGCAGAAUUCUGUGAGUCAUCGAAUCUUUGAACGCACAUUGCGCCCUGUGGUAUUCCGCAGGGCAUGCCUGUUCGAGCGUCAUUUCAACCCUCAAGCCUCGCUUGGUGUUGGGCCCUGCCCGCCGCGGCCGGCCCUAAAGAUAGUGGCGGCGCCGCCUGGCCCUCAGCGUAGUACAGCUCUCGCUCCAGGGUCCGGCGGCAGCCUGCCAGAACCCCCCAACUCUGUGGUUGACCUCGGAUCAGGUAGGGAUACCCGCUGAACUUAAGCAUAUCAAUAAGCGGAGGA